rnacentral:rRNA from 1 species
CCUCCAAUCAGUCCAAGAAUACCCGCUGAAUUUAAGCA